rnacentral:rRNA from 1 species
UACGGAGGAUGCAAGCGUUAUCCGGAUUCAUUGGGUUUAAAGGGUGCGUAGGCGGACUAUUAAGUCAGUGGUGAAAGCCUGCAGCUUAACUGCAGAACUGCCAUUGAUACUGAUAGUCUUGAGUUUGGUUAAGGUAGGCGGAAUGUGUAAUGUAGCGGUGAAAUGCUUAGAUAUUACACAGAACACCAAUUGCGUAGGCAGCUUACUGAGCCGACACUGACGCUGAGGCACGAAAGCGUGGAGAUCGAA